rnacentral:rRNA from 1 species
UACGUAGGAGGCGAGCGUUGUCCGGAUUUAUUGGGCGUAAAGAGCGUGUAGGCGGCCUGAAAGGUCAGCUGUGAAAACUCGAGGCUCAACCUCGAGACGUCGGUUGAAACCAUCUGGCUAGAGUCCGGAAGAGGAGUGUGGAAUUCCCGGUGUAGCGGUGAAAUGCGCAGAUAUCGGGAAGAACACCCGUGGCUAAGGCGGCUCUCUAGUACGGUACUGACGCUGAGACGCGAAAGCGUGGGGAGCGAACAGG